rnacentral:rRNA from 1 species
GAGUUUGAUCCUGGCUCAGGAUGAACGCUAGCGGCAGGCCUAACACAUGCAAGUCGAACGGUAACAGAGAAGAGCUUGCUCUUUUGCUGACGGAGUGGCGCACGGGUGCGUAACGCGUGUACAAUCUACCUUUUACAGGGGGAUAGCCUUUAGAAAUGAAGAUUAAUAUUCCAUAGUAAGUAGGACUUGCAUCAAGAUUACUUUAAAGCUUCGGCGGUAAAAGAUGAGUAUGCGUUCUAUUAGCUAGAUGGUGUGGUAACGGCACACCAUGGCAACGAUAGAUAGGGGCCCUGAGAGGGGGAUCCCCCACACUGGUACUGAGACACGGACCAGACUCCUACGGGAGGCAGCAGUGAGGAAUAUUGGACAAUGGGCGCGAGCCUGAUCCAGCCAUGCCGCGUGCAGGAAGACUGCCCUAUGGGUUGUAAACUGCUUUUAUACAGGAAGAAACCUUUUCACGUGUGAAAAGCUGACGGUACUGUAAGAAUAAGGAUCGGCUAACUCCGUGCCAGCAGCCGCGGUAAUACGGAGGAUCCAAGCGUUAUCCGGAAUCAUUGGGUUUAAAGGGUCCGUAGGUGGAUAAUUAAGUCAGGGGUGAAAGUCNGCAGCUCAACUGUAGAAUUGCCUUUGAUACUG